rnacentral:tRNA from 1 species
GGUAGCUCAGUUGGUAGAGCAGAGGACUGAAAAUCCUUGUGUCGGUCAAAUUCGGAUUAGAUAAAUCCUCUUUGUAACAGUUCAAUUCUUCUCAAUAACCCACCA